AUUCAUUCCUUUCUUUAAUUUUUAGUAUUACUAGAGUAUUGCAGGCAAAUAAUUUGCACUCAGUUUUGGGUUUUUUAGGGUUCUUCCUGUUUGAAAUUUUGGUAUCCAAUGAGUGUAAAUUGAUCCUUGAGAGAUCCCCGACCGUCAUUUUUUUACUUGGUUUAUGGAUGUUAUGAAACUAAGUUGUUUCUUGAACUUUGUCUAUCUGAAAUUUGGCUAAAUUAUAGAGAUUUGACUGUAAUUUCUGAUUGAGAAUUUUGUUUGAACUUUCACCUCUGUUGAGUCUUUGCUUUAUCUCUUAUUCAAUGUCGAAAAGGCACUUGCUUUUUUCAUCUGUUACGGCUUCCAAUUGUAGUGGUUUUGGUCAUCUUUUGUUGUAUAUAAAAAUUCUUGAAUUCCAUGACAGCUGCAUUUCUGGCUUUCGAGUUGUCGAAAUGAUGAAUGAUGUAUUUUGAUUGGUCGGUGGGAUAUAGCACUGAAAUUUCUGCACUGCAUUUGUUCGGUUAUGCAUCAUAGAAUUUUCAAAUUGUUUCACAAUUUACUGCAACUUGUUGAUUCAAUAGUGCUGACAUUGCAGUUUAAGUCUUCCUUUGUUUUGAAUCGUUUGAGUUUCUUAAUCAGAACUUCUUUGUGGUUCUGGUUAUUUAUAUAAGGGUGUGAAUCCAAAUGGUUAUUGGUAUGGGAUUUGGAUAUUUGCUUUGCCAUUGUUGUGCUUACUACUUGUUAAUUACUAUUUUUUGUUAGCAUAAGCAUAGAAAUUUAGUGAUUGCACCAGGUAGUGCACCAGGUAGUGACUGAUUACCCCGAACAUAAAUGAAGAAAUUUAUAUCUGCUGUUUGUAUUCAUCAUGUGUGCUUCAAUCAUGCGUACUGUUUGUACUUUUAUGCCCCAGUACACCUUGCACCUCUGACAACGGUGAGGAUCUGUUUUUCACCUCAGCUGUUGUCGGUUAAUUUGGUCAGCAUCUGUAUGUCGUAUGCGAUAUAUUCUCUGGACAUAAUUCUUAAAAUGAAAUUCACUUCCUCUGUUUAGGUUGACAUCCCUCUGUCACUGUUUUCUCCACCUUCUUAAAUCUUUGGUUCUCACAUGAUGCUAGCCUUCAUCAUUAUGAUUUUCUAGGAUAAGAUGAUAGUGUUAGAAACGCUUGACAACUUAAACUUCUGCUUUCAGAUUUCUUGAAACUACUCAUGCUUUAUUUUCUUGCACCUUUGGCUGCUUUUACUGUUAGGAUAUUGCAGCAUACUUUGUUUUGACAAAAAUGUUAUUUAGACAAAGAUAGUGUGUACCAUGAAGUUGUGAAUUGAUUCUUGCAGUAAGAAUGCUAUCAAAAUGUGGUUGUACAUAUUCAGCUGAAUUCUUUUCUUUAAUUUCCAAAGGGUGGGCAUCUGGGUUGCAGGGUUGUGGUGCGGUUGGCUUUCAGCAUUAGAAGUCCUAGUGCUUGUGUUGGUGCUGUCAGAUUGGAAUUUCUGGACGCUAGUGGGAGAACUAUCCAGGUUUCGACUUCUAGAUCAACCAAUUGGACAGGUCCCUCCAAGCGAUACUGAUAGAAGCAUUCUUCCAUGGCUGUAUGUGAAGUAGGAAACAAGAUUGAAAAUCUUGAUGUUUCACAAACCGGGAAGGAAAAUGCAUCAGUUCAGAUAAAGGUUUUGUUUUUCGCCAGGGCCAGAGAUCUGACUGGCUUAAGUGACAUGCAAUUUGAAGUUUCAUCUGGUAGUAGUGCCUCUGAUUGCUUAGAUAAAGUCAUUGCCAAAUUCCCUGGUUUAAAAGAGAUCCGAGGAUGUAUGGUCCUGGCUCUCAAUGAAGAGUACAUUGAAGAGUCUGUUAUUGUCAAAGAUAGAGAUGAAUUGGCCAUCAUUCCUCCCAUAAGCGGUGGGUAAGUAUUCUAGUACAGCCGUUAUGUUUGCAAGUGUCUAAAUAAAUGUUGAAUAACAGCCAUUCCGUGUAACCCUAUGUUGAGUAAAGUCCAGAAUGAUAUUUCAAUGUUUUUGUGUAAUUUGAGAUAAUUCAAUAAUUGGAUCUGUAGAUUUUUAUGGAAAUUGUCUCACAACAGUCCUUUAUGGUCAUUUUCCAUUACUUAUCAGAUGGGGGGCCUUUUGACUAGCAA